rnacentral:rRNA from 1 species
GAGUUUGAUCCUGGCUCAGAACGAACGCUGGCGGCAUGCCUAACACAUGCAAGUCGAACGAACCCUUCGGGGUGAGUGGCGCACGGGUGCGUAACGCGUGGGAACCUGCCUUUAGGUUCGGAAUAACAGUUAGAAAUGACUGCUAAUACCGGAUAAUGUCUUCGGACCAAAGAUUUAUCGCCUUUAGAUGGGCCCGCGUUAGAUUAGAUAGUUGGUGGGGUAAUGGCCUACCAAGUCGACGAUCUAUAGCUGGUCUGAGAGGAUGAUCAGCCACACUGGGACUGAGACACGGCCCAGACUCCUACGGGAGGCAGCAGUGGGGAAUAUUGGACAAUGGGCGAAAGCCUGAUCCAGCAAUGCCGCGUGAGUGAUGAAGGCCUUAGGGUUGUAAAGCUCUUUUACCAGGGAUGAUAAUGACAGUACCUGGAGAAUAAGCUCCGGCUAACUCCGUGCCAGCAGCCGCGGUAAUACGGAGGGAGCUAGCGUUGUUCGGAAUUACUGGGCGUAAAGCGCACGUAGGCGGCUUUUCAAGUCAGGGGUGAAAUCCCGGGGCUCAACCCCGGAACUGCCCUUGAAACUGGAUGGCUAGAAUACUGGGAGAGGUGAGUGGAAUUCCGAGUGUAGAGGUGAAAUUCGUAGAUAUUCGGAAGACACCAGUGGCGAAGGCGACUCACUGGACAGUUAUUGACGCUGAAGUGCGAAAGCGUGGGGAGCAAACGGAUUAGAUACCCUGGAAGAACACCAGUGGCGAAGGCGACUCACUGGACAGUAUUGACGCUGAGUGCGAAAGCGUGGGAGCAAACAGGAUUAGAUACCCUGUAGUCCACGCCGUAAACGAUGAUAACUAGCUGUCCGGGCUCAUGGAGCUUGGGUGGCGCAGCUAACGCAUUAAGUUAUCCGCCUGGGGAGUACGGUCGCAAGAUUAAAACUCAAAGGAAUUGACGGGGGCCUGCACAAGCGGUGGAGCAUGUGGUUUAAUUCGAAGCAACGCGCAGAACCUUACCAGCCUUUGACAUCCUAGGACGGUUUCUGGAGACAGAUUCCUUCCCUUCGGGGACCUAGUGACAGGUGCUGCAUGGCUGUCGUCAGCUCGUGUCGUGAGAUGUUGGGUUAAGUCCCGCAACGAGCGCAACCCUCGUCCUUAGUUGCCAUCAUUUAGUUGGGCACUUUAAGGAAACUGCCGGUGAUAAGCCGGAGGAAGGUGGGGAUGACGUCAAGUCCUCAUGGCCCUUACAGGCUGGGCUACACACGUGCUACAAUGGCAUCUACAGUGAGCAGCGAUCCCGCGAGGGUUAGCUAAUCUCCAAAAGAUGUCUCAGUUCGGAUUGUUCUCUGCAACUCGAGAGCAUGAAGGCGGAAUCGCUAGUAAUCGCGGAUCAGCAUGCCGCGGUGAAUACGUUCCCAGGCCUUGUACACACCGCCCGUCACACCAUGGGAGUUGGAUUCACCCGAAGGUGGUGCGCUAACCAGUUUACUGGAGGCAGCCAACCACGGUGGGUUCAGCGACUGGGGUGAAGUCGUAACAAGGUAGCCGUAGGGGAACCUGCGGCUGGAUCACCUCCUUUCU